CUCAAAGCUUGCGGUGUGAAACUGUAGCUUACUGACAAUGAGUCUUGCUUAAGGAUCUUUGAAGGAUUUAUAGGGAAAUGUGAUUUGGAAGAAGCAGAGGAUGGCACUGUUGGACAAAAAUUAUGAGGCAAUACAUCCUGCAAAUCUUGAAUUACAGCACUGCACAACCUUACAGAAAUUGUAUCAGAUGUCUUACAAGAUGCAUAAUCAGGAUAAAGGUUUACGGUGUGUUUUCGAUCAUCAAAAUUUUGCUUGAAGUCAGCAGUCAGAACAGAACUGCUGUGACUGACCUUUUCCUGAACAGCCCUAGAGCUGUAAAAGAUUAAGUUUGAAAUGGGAAAUUUAGCAUGAAUACAGUGGUCCUCACUCAGGGCACAAAUGAAAUUCUAUCAAAAGCUGAAGAAAAUGAAGUAACUAAUGAUGGACUAAGAAGUGAUCAACUCCUUAGAAGAAUCAAACUCCAUAUGGAACCAUUACUUUCUCUGCCAGCUAUAAUGGACCAUCUAAAAACUGAAAUUCUCCUCUUCAUCAGAGGAACAUCCUACAUCCUAAAGGCAUACUUAAAAGACUUCGUCAUGUCUUUUAUAUCUCCUAAGCCCGUGGUAAAAAAAAAAUAA
rnacentral:lncRNA from 1 species